rnacentral:lncRNA from 1 species
AAGAUUCCGGUCAGUUGAUGUUCUGUAUUACAUGUUUCCUCAAUUGUUGCAGUAGCAAGCGCCUUAUGUUUGAGAUUUUUUGAUACCCUAGUUACAAAUUCCGGUCAGUUGAUGUUCUGUACUACAUGCAUUCUGGCUAGUGCCUUACCUUCCUGGUAAUACUCAUGGAUUAUAUUUCAUCAGUUAAUCUUGUUUGCUCACUCACACACCUGAAAAUUUAGAUUUAACAUGGAUUUUUUCCUGUUAUUAAGUAAAGUAAAGCAAAUACGAAAUCAAAGUUAGGGUGCAGUUUUUCUUUCUGAGAAAAUUUUAUGGAGUACCAACAAGAUUGAGCCCUCGACACAUUUGGAAUACUUGUUUGAGUCUUCUUACAUCGUUACAUAACUUUACACCUCCAACUGAUGGAGUCACUUUUCACCCUAUAUUAUUUUUCCAGAAACCUAAUUAUGACUCACAUCUAGAGGAGAAGCUUCUUUGCUGGACAAUGUUGCUAAACACGAAGGGCAACCUAAUCUGAACGAAGUUGACAUGACAGAUAGUAUGUAAACUCGAGUGGUACUUAGCCAAAAUAUCUUGAUAAGACUACCUGAUCAUACAACACCCCUAUGACAAAGAAUGCACUGAAACCAAUCAUGAAGGUGACCUUAUAACUAGUUUGUUGUGUUGACAAAAUGGUGGCUGGAGGGGUUUCUGUUGACCCACAUUUGUGAAUGAGAAUAGAACCACAGAGCUUUGCAUUCCCGUCAAAGCUCGAAGUCUCAAAUGUGUUAAACUGGCCUCCAGAUGGAAUAGGACCUUCUAGGUCAUUGUUAGAAAUAUUGAACGCCGGAAGGGAGUGCAGGCUGUUCAGUCCAGAUGGGAUUGGGCCCAUGAGAUUGUUAUUGGACAAGUCUAGUGCCAGAAGACUUGUGAGAUUACAUAUUGAUUGUGGGAGCUGUCCCGUCAAGUCAUUCGAACUCAAAUUCAGAGAAAGGAGGGAUUUCAGCUGACCGAUCUCCCUAGGGAUCUCACCAGUGAAUUUAUUGUUGCUUAAAUCCAGCACUUUAGGGAAAGCAUUGAGUCGGCGGUAUUGUCGUGAUAGAGCAGUAUAAAUAGUUAGUUUGAACACCCUUGGAUCUAAAUGGGCUUUAGUCUUCUCUGACUUCAGCAUUGGCAUAUCCAUCAGUGCUGUUGGAAUUCCCUCUGUGAGGUUGUUGUUUGAUAUGUCCAGAUAGAACAGGUUGCUUAGGGUUUUGAUCCAGGCUGGUAUUGAUCCAGUGAGUUGAUUGUUAGAUAAUUUUAAUAUUUGUAAAUUUGGUAGCUUCGAUAUCCAGUUAGGUAUUUUUCCAAAAAAUUCACAUCCUGCGAUACUCAAAACCUGUAGAUUCUCAAAACCAUCAAUUCUAUUAUCCUCUUGCAUGAUCUCUCCCCUGAAGUUGAGCCCGAUUAGCACGGUUGUAAGGUUCCUGCAUCUCUUAAGGAUGUGAAGUGCAUUUGUGAUGUCUUGAAAAGAAUUGUUGGCAAGUGACAUGAAGGUGAGGUAUUUCAGGUUGCUUAUUUGUGGUGAAAGCUGCCCAUGUAACUUGUUGCCAGCUAGUCACAGUGCAAUCAGAUUGCUGCAAGAGUAAAUGCUUUCUGGAACUGUGCCGCUGAAGUUGUUCAAGUAAACAUCUAAUGUUCUUAGAUUGGGCAGGUUGGAGAAAUUGACCUUGGUGAGCUCUCCACUGAAUUUGUUUGCCUUGAGGUCAAUUGUUUUGAGAUUCGUGCAGUUGCUCAGAGCUGAUGGCAGCUCCCCUGACAUUUUGUUGUUUUCAAAAUGGAACUCCUCCAGUUUCUUGAGCUGGCCUAUAGAAUCUGGAAUCCCGCCACUGAAUUUGUUUCCUCCAAGAUCAAGGGUUACGAGAUUUCUGAGGUUGAUUAUGCGUACAUCUUCAAGAGCUCCAUGUAAAUUAUUGUUAAGAAAAGACAGAUAUUCCAACGAGGUAGCAUUGAAGAGUUCAUCUGGGAGUGUUCCACUGAGGUUGUUGUAGCCGGCUCUAAGCUCUCUCAGCGCGUUGCAAUCACCAAGUCCUGGGGGAAUGCUGCCACUGAAUUUGUUGAAACACAGAUCAAGUACAUUGAGGGAUGGUGAGCUGUUACAUAAUUGAGUUGGUACCUGCCCAGUAAAGCUGUUAUUGCUGGCAUUGAGUGCGAUCAUAUUCCCCAUUGCUUUCCAUGUGGUGGAUGGAAAAUGUCCUGCAAAUAAGUUGCUUGAGAUGUUUAGUACCUGCAGAGGCCUGCCAGGGGUUGAAGAUGGCAACUCGUGGAGUUUUCCAUUGAGCUGGUUAAAGCUGACAUCAAGGAUUGUGAUGCUGCUGGACGACAUCAAUUCCAGCGGCAGACCACGAAACAACGUGUUGUGAGAGAGGUCAAGGUACUGCAGCCCUAUGAGGGUCCCAAGGGACUGUGAGAUGUGCCCCACAAGGCCCUUUGAGGGCAGCAAGACAGCAUUGACUGUCCUAUCUUGCCUGCAGAUGAUCCCUUCCCACUUGCAGCAAUCCGUGCCAUUCCGCCAUGAUGCAGCGAGGUCACCAUCUUGCCAGAGCUCGGCAAGGAACUGGAGAAGGUGGUUCUUCUCCUGCUCCGUGCAGGAACUUGUAGGAGAGACCAAGCAAACCAGCAGCACAAGAGCAAGGCCAAAGGAAGGCAUCUUGCUGUAUGUUUUGUUGGGAAACUGAAGUGUCUUCAUGGUUCUUUGGUUGAAUAUGCUUGGGAGAGCUUAUGUUAUUUCCUGACUAUAUAAAGCAUCAUUGGAGGUCUAAUUAUCAAAGAGCAUGAUGGGAAAUAACGAAGCAGAUCUUGCUCCCAUUUCGUCCAUCCCUUGUAGUCGUAGUCGCCACAAAGAAAUUUGGGUCAAGAAAAUUGGGUUUUACACAAUUGUCCCCAGCCCACAGGCAGCUUACUAGUCCACACUGAUGUUUACCUGUUUCAUAUUGGUUGGCCAAUUUUCACCGUCCUUACAAAAAAUUGCUAUGUAGAUUGUGUAGUCUCCUUGACUCAGUCCUUAGUCCUUACUGAAUUAUUAAAGCAUGCCUUAGUAUACUUGACCUGACAUUAUUUUCUUACCGGCUUCACUAAACAAAUCUAACCUCUUCUCACUAGCAUUUGACCAAAAAUUACUUCUUGACGCACAUCCUUUGCCUUUUGGUGAACAGGAAAAUGUGUGUUUUGAAAAGGAUUCAGCCGGCAAGAUAGUACACGGGGAGAUCAUUUUUUUUAAGGCACUUGCGAUCGAGAGCAAUCGUCGGUAUCUCAGUUAGUGUGGAGACAAACACAGGUGGAGGGCUGGAAGAAAUGCAAUCUUGUUUCUUAUUGGACGGGAUGGAAGAGGGAACAGGUCACCAGCAUACAUGUGGUUAAUAAUUUUCCUCUUCUGAUCUCGAAAAAAUAAACAGAAGGCUUUCAGAAACUGCAGAGUUGGCAUUGCAUUUUUUCUCUCUGGUUAGUAUAUAUAGUGUGUAUCACUGACCUCUCUUUAUUCUGAUGUCUGGUGCAGGAUCUGUACAUCAGUACAUGUUACUGUACUUAUCAGGUACAGUGCCUGGCGUUGUAUUUGGGAUCAAGCAUGUAUUUUCAACACGUUGAUGCUGCG